AAGACAUGCAAGUCGAGCGCUGAUUACAGGGUAGCAAUAUUCUGUGGUCGGAGCGGCGCAAGGGUGCGUAACACGUGGGUAAUCUGCCAUGAAGUUUGGGAUAACUUGCUGAAAGGCGAGCUAAUACCGGAUGUGACGAUUGGAAGGCAUCUUCCGAUCUUCAAAGCUGGGGAUCCGCAAGGACCUGGCGCUUCAUGAUGAGCCCGCGGCCUAUCAGCUAGUUGGUGAGGUAACGGCUCACCAAGGCUAAGACGGGUAGCUGGUCUGAGGGGACGACCAGCCACACUGGAACUGAGACACGGUCCAGACACCUACGGGUGGCAGCAGUCGAGAAUUUUUCACAAUGGGCGCAAGCCUGAUGGAGCGACGCCGCGUGGGGGAUGAAUGGCUUCGGCCCGUAAACCCCUGUCAUUUGCGAACAAGUUGGUUCAAUUAACACCUGAACCAUUGAUAGUAGCGAAAGAGGAAGGGACGGCUAACUCUGUGCCAGCAGCCGCGGUAAUACAGAGGUCCCGAGCGUUGUUCGGAUUCACUGGGCGUAAAGGGUGCGUAGGUGGUGAGGUAAGUCGGAUGUGAAACCUCCGAGCUCAACUCGGAAAUGGCAUUGGAAACUACCUUGCUCGAGGGUUGGAGGGGGGGACUGGAAUGCUUGUGUACAAUGAAAUGC
rnacentral:rRNA from 1 species